rnacentral:lncRNA from 1 species
UGAUAAAGCAUGCAAAUCAUUUACCAUCUCUUUGCCCAUUUGAGGGGAGAGCAUUUCAAAGGAAUCAUGGACUGGAGGUGUAAGGUUAGAUGGCAAACUAUUUUGCUCACGCAGUUUGAUGACAAAAUUCAUGAAGUCAACUUCCCUGUUUAUUUGGCUCAUGAUUAAUGUUUUUUUAACUUCCAAAUGUUGGCUAGCAAUUGAUAUACUAUGAUCAAACAUGUCAUAAUUCAUUGAUUUAUGGUCACUAUUACAUUUGAUAAUUUAUAAUCACAUAAAUGAACUUAAAUGUUCCGGGCCUGGCAUGUUAGCAUUGGUUUACAUUAUAGUACAAUGAAUAUAUGAUGGAAACAAUGUCGCAAGAUCACUCAGCACUAUAGGCCGGCACGGCAGAACAUGCAUACGCUUCUAGUUUACAUGACGAGUACUUCAUUUGCUUGCAUCAUGCAUGCAUGUAGCUUUCAAAAUAAAUUAUUAUGUUGUAACAAAACCUUAAUCUAAGAAGACCGAAAGUAUGUGUAGAAUAACGCUACUUAGUGCAUUCCUAGUACAUGAUAUCGGAACUCCUGGAAAUUAUCAUUCUUGAGCUGAUUAUGUGUCUCCAUUCACACCUCUUCCUAUUUAAUUGCAGAAUGCUCAUACUGAAAAUAGCAAUGCAGCCAAGUUAGGUGGUCUUCACCAAGUCACUAAGCAGGUACAUAUAUGCUGGGUAUCCAAACAGUUGUAUAAUUGUAGUUGGUCUAAUUCUCUAUGACAUUGUCCUUCUUUGCGUAAAGUGAAAUCUUCCCAGUUUUAUGAAUAACAAUGUUUCAUUUCUUGCAAAACUGGGAUAAGACUGAAGUCUUGUUCUUUUCAAUCAAUUUGAGAAAUAAAAACAAACCCAUGACCAAUGGAACUUUAGGGGGUAAAGAUAGAACAUAUGUGGUUGAAGGAAACAUGCUUGGAGAGCAGUACUCCCUCCGUCCGAAAAAGCUUGCCCCUCAAAUGAAUGUAUCUAGCACCAAGUUAGUGCUAGAUACAUCCAUUUGAGGGACAAGCUUGGGACAAGCUUUUUUGGACGGAGGGAGUAUGUUGCAUUCUCUGUCCGUGGCUCUACAAAUCUAGGAGAUGUGAACUGGUUAGACCAUAUGAAAAAUUCCAACCAGUAGGAGAUGUUGGUUAUGUUUUUGCUUGGCCUUGCUCACAUGUAAGUAUGUUUCCAUACAAGCAUCGAGUGUGCUCCAAUAUCCACAUUUAAGAUACUUCAGUGAUAUAAAAUCUUUGUGGCUUUUUGGUACAAAAAACUAAGCCAACCAUUCAAACGAAGCAUUUGUAUGAUACACUUCUUAUAAUUUAUCAAAGAACAUCUUAUCUUGCACUUGUCUAAAACAUUGUUCAUUUUCAUUUUCAGGGCGGUUGAGGAUUUCAAAAGAGAGUGCAUUAAGGGAGCUAGGAGUAAUUGGGUAGUUGAGGAUUUGAAAAGGGAGUGCACUGAAGGAGCCAGGAUCAGUUGAUGAAACAGUCUGUGAAUGAACAAGUAUUGUGGCUUAUGUUAUAUUUUAGCUUAAUGAGAACCAUAGUUCUAGACUAUAGGAUAUUUUCUUAUUUAUUUGCAUGUUCUGUAUGAAUGUCUCUUAAUAUUCAGUUUUGAACUUCGGUGUAUGUAUCUGUUCGGGCUAAUUGCUCCACUCAGCUUGCCUUUUUUUAAGGGGAACUCAGCCUGUCAAUUUUGAUAACGCGAUGUUUGCAAAUGCAAUCUAUGACGUGGAAUGGUUCCUUCAUAUAAUGAUAUUGUUU